rnacentral:tRNA from 1 species
GAGCCCGUAGCUCAGCUGGUAGAGCACCUGACUUUUAAUCAGGGUGUCCCGGGUUCGAAUCCCGGCGGGCUCACCA